GACACAAGUUUCUGAACAUGUCACCCGACUAAAACGAUUUUAAAGACGUUAUCACGUCAAUUAUUACAAUUGUGUAGCUGACAAUAUUAAAAACAUCAAACAAUUACAAAAACCAUAUUUUGUCUAGCACUCUUAAUAUCGCUGACGUUAAUAUAUUGCUUAAUCGGAUUUCCCUGAAACAAUUAUUUAACGCGCAAUACAAAUACAAGUACUAGUGUUUAAAUGCAUCAAAUACGGUUCGGUAUACUUAAGUAUACUUAAUUUCACAUAUUUUGCGACUAUUGUGAUAACCCAGCAUUGACUUCUGUGAUAUUGUAUCGUGGUAAUGAAGUAUAGUUUAAUUCACUCUCUUUCUGAUCAGUCGUACAUCAUAACAACACUUUCAACAAACAUGAAGAUCGAAUUGGUUUUACUAAUUGCGCUUUCUAUAAUAAUACACACCCAGGCACAAAGUUGCGAUGGGAAGGUGGAUAGAAACUUCUGCCCUGAGCAAGCGGCCAGCUUAUCAAUUACAAAGCAAACUUCUGAAGAUGAUAAAGGAAUUCUCAUUGUAACCAUCAAUUGUUUUGAUACUUCCGGCAAAGUAAUUGCAAAAUGCAGCGACAAUAUUGAAAGUCCUUUUCCCAAUGUCAUCAUUAGAAGUUUUCAAUAUAUUGGUAAAUAUAAGUCUUAUCAACCAUCCAAUCAGCCUUCUAAUAGAAAUAACCAGGACAAUGUUGUUAAUGAUGACGAAAUUGAGACUUUCGAGUGAAUUUCAAAAUAAAUGUGCAAAAUUAUAUGAAUAUGAUAUCAAUAAAUAGAGUUGUUAUAAUUGAAAA